ACUACAAGCCGGGUUAUCGCUUUUGCAUAAGCAGGGGAGGAAAGUCCGGACAGUGAAGAGCAGCGCACCACCUAACGGGUGGGGUCUUGCGAAAGCGGGAUACAGACAGUGCCACAGAGAAUAACCGCCUUUAGCAAUAAGGGUAAGGGUGAAAACGUAGAGUAAGAGCCUACGCAUUGUGUUGGCAACAAUAUGAUGGGGUAAACCUUGCGCACUGAAAUGCCAAAUAGGCGUACGUUUGAGGGCUGCUCGUCCGAUGUACGCGGGUUGGCAGCUACAGGUGAUGUGUGAGCAGCAUCGCAGAUAAAUGAUAACCGUCCCGGGACCAUACGGGAUUACAGAAUCCGGCUUACAGGUUUGUAGUUGUU
rnacentral:RNase_P_RNA from 1 species